rnacentral:rRNA from 1 species
CUACGUGCCAGCAGCCCCGAUAAUACGUCGGGGGCCAGCGUUAUCCGGAAUUACUGAGCGUAAAGGGUUUUUAUGUGGUUUAAUGAGUCCGAUGUGAAAGCCCACGGCUCAACCGUGGUACGCAUUUCAAACCGAUAAACUUGACUUAAAGACAGGAAAGUGGAAUUCCAAAUGUAACGGGUAAAUGCGUUAAUCUUAGGAAGAAUACCCUUGGCGAAAGCCAGUUUCCGGACUUAUACUGACACCGGAGAACUAAAACCUGGGGAGCCAAAAAGAUUAAAAACCCCGGUAGUCCCCCCCCUAAAAGAUUAGUGCUUCGUGGUGGGGG